rnacentral:rRNA from 1 species
UGGGUAACCCACCCCGAUGACCGGGACAACCCGAGGAAACUCGGGCUAAUACCGGAUGAGCUCUUCGCCCUUGAGGGAAAAGAGGAAAGAUAGCUUCGGCCUUCGCAUCGGGACGGGCCCGCGGCGCAUUAGCUUGUUGGUGGGGUAACGGCCUACCAAGGCGACGAUGCGUAGCUGGUCUGAGAGGGUNAUCGGCCACAUUGGAACUGAGACACGGUCCAGACUCCGUACGGGAGCAG